GCGUUUGCAUGCUGGGAGUUGUAGUGCGCUACAUGUAUCCUGUGUACAUGUAUCCUGGCGUUUCUUUCGUUUUGGUUGUUACCGUGCACUUCGUAUCAGAUGGAUUAUAAUUGCUGGAUUCUUUGUUUCCUCCUUUGCUGUUUGGUUUACAGACAAUGAAACAUCACCCCGCAUCUUCCAGUAAAAGGGGGGAGACUGCUAAUGAGGGAACAGCAAGAAAACCUACCAGCAAAAAAAAGGGAACGGAUGGAGAAAAAAGAAAACAAGCUCACAAACGAAAGAUCUAUUUUGCCCCAACAAAGUGGGGGAAAAGGAGAUUUUCAGAAAUACCUAAACUUGUUGAAAGAGAGGUAAGAAAUCAUCUUUUUGAGAGAAAAAGGAAUUUGGUUUACCCAGUUGUUCUGUGCCAUUGUUGGAGGAUUGCAUCUGGGAGCAUCACACUUGGAAAAACUUGGAAGAGAGUGUGGAUGCAAAAUCAAAGAGGGAGAUAUUGACAGUGGACAAGCAAGUGUUGUUGAAAGUAUCCAGACCCAUUUUAGCUACUUCUACAGAAGUAGCAGGACUAAGGAGGAUGCUGAGACUUUUUGAGACCUUAAAGGUGCCCCCAGGGAAGCUGGGUGAGCUGAAGAAUGUCCUGAGCCUUCAGCUGGCAGAGAAACAAAUACUUGAGACAAAUGAAAAGACUUUGAUACAACUGCAGGUGUUCCAGGAAGGUGGCACUGGGGCACUCCACCUUCCAGAACUCCCGAAGUACAGUUUACAGGCACCCACUUUGCAGGAAGGUUUGUAAGGAAGAUGUUGGUGCUCAGCUGCUCCACGAAGCUGCAGAUGCUGGAGAAAAUGUUAAGGUGGAGUUUUCCUGUGUCCUUCAAGGUAACACAGCACAGACCUGUUGUUUUCUGUGGUUCUUCCAUCA